ACAUGACUUUCCUGGCAUGUUUGCAUGAUAAGAAGCCUACGUGCACAAGAGGAAUUAUUGGCAUGCAUAGCAUGUGUGCAGCACUGUCCUCCUGAGUGCGACUACGCGGGCUUAUUUAUUCCUUGCACGACACGCUGAGUUGUGUGACUACUUCGCACACCCACAAGCCAAAAACACUAUGCAGGCUUGGCUCUCAACUUUGUCCAUUUGGGUGAAGCUCGAGAGGUUUACCCCAAGGGGGCCUCAGCCUAAGAGGGAAACCCAACGGCCUAACCAAUUUUAGUGGACCCCCACUAGGUCUGGCCUAGUUCAGUGGACCCCCACAAGGUUUGGUUUAGUUUAGUGGACCCUCAAUGGGUCCGUCCUAGUUCAAUGGACCACCAUCGGGUUCACUUCAGUUUAGUGGACCCUUACUAGGUCUGGUUCAAUCCAAUGAACCCUUAGUGGUCCAGGUCAAUUAAUUGGGUCUACAU
rnacentral:lncRNA from 1 species